CGAGCUCGCGGGCUGCGGCGGGGCGGGGCAGGGGCGGGGUCGAGCUCGCGGGCGGAGACGGGGCUGGGGGCGUGGCCUCAGCGAGCUAAGCUCGGGGCGCCCUGGAGCGGAGGUCGCUCGCUGCCUGCUGUGCUUUCAGGUUCUGGUCCUGAGUCCGCCCCUGGGACUUUCUUUUUUGGGGGGGAGGGGUCCAGAGCUGGCCUUCCUCUUCAGCCUCUGCUCACGUUUCCGUGGCGACGUCUCGCUAGCCUGGACCGUGGCAGAGCUGGCUUGUCUACUGAGUGGUAGGUGCAACUCUGUUCGCUCCAGCCUUUCAUUAAUCAGGAAGGUGCGUGUACCGAUCAGAAAACACUCAAGCACCCUGGAGGGAUGUGGUCCCUCCGCCCCUCCGCGAAUUAAUUUAGUUAACCCUCACUGCGGGAUCAGACAGUGAAGUUUUAAAAUAAAGAAAAACAAGCAAACAGACAAAACCAGGACCUGAGGAAUAUUGUCAAAGGGGAACUUAAUGUUUGAAACCCAAAAGCCUGUUUUUCAGCCCACUUGCCAUUCAUAGGGUGGCUAUUUUUAGACACGCCCUUAUUGGAGUAGAGAAAAACCUAAGUUUCACAGAAUAGUUGAGAAGGCUGAUUGCCACAUAAUGGAAGGUCACCGAUCCCUUACCUCACAAUGCACCCAUUUGGACUGGGAACAUCCGGUCAUAAACAUGUUCUAUUGCCUAACCAGACGUAGGGCAGCCACUAUUGCUCUUCACGUCCUGGGUCUGAUCUGUAUGCAUUUUUUCUAAGGCAUAAGACAAGCUGGAAACCAUGUUCCAGAUUCUUGGAUUGAGCAACAUGGAACAGCAGAUAGAUGCAUUCUGUAUUUUGACGAAGGGUUGGGCCUGAAGGCCAACCCAAUCUUCUCAUUUCCCACAGCCCACUACAGAAGUGUGCACUCUACGUUUUUAAAUUAUUGGAGAAAAACAAAAGAAGAACAAUGUGAUGCUGGAAUUUAUGAAAUUUACAUUUCAGUUCUGCAAAUAUAGCCGCAUUUGUUCCAACAGAGCCUUGACUCCCUAGAGUAUUGGAAGUGGAGAAAUCGGACAGGGCCAGUGUUUGGAAGGAGCUGCCAGCAGGUUACCAUUGCUUAGAUUGUGGGAAAAGAGGCAUCAGAAAGCCUCCUGAGGUAUAGGUAUAGACUAAAAGGUGCUUCUCAUUGUGCUAAAAAUGUUUUUGUCCAGUCUAUAUAUCCAGCCCUCUGGACAGAGGAAAGUGUCAUUUUUUGGGUUCCAGCGCUUUCACUAUGACUCAAAGCUGACGUAAACCUAGGUGAUGCGGUUGCUCCUUGUCUCUUCAGCUGGGUUAGCUAACCAGAUGCUUCCACUGCCUAGCUCCCUCCUUGCCAUUGACGAGCAUUCCAGCCUCCACAGGCCUGGAGCAGACGCUAAUCUCAGGUGAGGAGCAGUUACGGAAGAGAAUGUUACGUCUCAAGGAAGCUGGGACCGCACUGGAAAGGACUGCACCUUAUUACCCUGACCACCCCCACCGCUGUCAAGGCAGAUGGCGUCCACAUCACUCCCAGGUCAGGCGCAUCCUGGAGCAACAACCCGGCUGCAGAAAAAUGAACUAUCACCGAGGCUUGCGAUGAUCCACUAAAGACAUGGCUAAUAUGGGUUGUAGACUAAUAGGGUUGCUUUAUCUGGCUAUCCCCCGCCCCAUACUUUCAUAGGAUAUAUGUCUAGUUCCCCCGAAGAUCAACUCAAACUUGCCAUGAAUGUCUCCCAGCUCCCACUUCAUCGGGUGGACGCUCUUUCCUGUACUUCCCAGUUGAAACUGUUUGAUUUGCGUGUACUGGCAGGUUGCACCCUUGCUUGCCUAUUUGGAAGAUGCGUGAGUUCCAGGAUUCUGUAUCUUGUUAACCCUAUUCUCCUGGAUGCAUGUUUAUAACAGUCCAGUAGGGAGAAAAAACAGGUAUGCAUGUACCCAGGCCCUUCUAGCUUCCAUGUGAAGGGGAAUUGCACAAUCUGUCCCCUCAUAACCCUCAUAUAAUGCUUGGGUUAGGGACAGCAGGGGCCACUCUAGGUACCACUGGUACAGUAAUGACUGACAUUAACUUCAGAAACCCAGGACUCUGAAUAACCCGAGAUCUGCCUCUAUCAGGAAAGUAAAACGUAUUGCUAAGCUAGAUGAACAGGUGCCCACCACGGAGUCAAGGAUUUGGCCCAGGGUAGCAGAAUGUGGUGGCAAACAUUAUGUUGAUGGCUAGCUUUAUGAUUAUAGGUUUAAGGUUUCUGUGCUUAAGACAACUACACAGCAAAAUUGGACUUCCAGAUGUUAAGGGCUGCUAAGGGUUGAUUUUUGUCGUUGACCGGUCUUGUACAACUUUAACAAACUGCUGUUUCUGCUUCUGUGAAGGAAGGCUUGCUUUGCACAAGAAGAAUGUAACUUUGUUCUUUGCCUUAAAAAGCGCCUGGCUGAGGGGGCUGGGCACUGGAUGUAGAGCUGUACAUAAACAAAAGCCUCUGCUUCUUUAA